AGCGAACGCUGGCGGCAGGCCUAACACAUGCAAGUCGAGCGCCCCGCAAGGGGAGCGGCAGACGGGAGAGUAACACGUGGGAACGUACCCUUCAGUUCGGAACAACCCAGGGAAACUUGGGCUAAUACCGAAUACGUCCGUAAGGAGAAAGAUUUAUCGCUGAAGGAUCGGCCCGCGUCUGAUUAGCUAGUUGGUGAGGUAACGGCUCACCAAGGCGACGAUCAGUAGCUGGUCNGAGAGGAUGAUCA
rnacentral:rRNA from 1 species